UACGAAGGGGGCUAGCGUUGUUCGGAAUUACUGGGCGUAAAGCGCACGUAGGCGGGCGAUUAAGUCAGGGGUGAAAUCCCGGAGCUCAACUCCGGAACUGCCUUUGAUACUGGUCGUCUAGAGAUCGGAAGAGGUGAGUGGAAUUCCCAGUGUAGAGGUGAAAUUCGUAGAUAUUAGGAAGAACACCAGUGGCGAAGGCGGCUUACUGGUCCGGUACUGACGCUGAGGUGCGAAAGCGUGGGGAGCAAACAGG
rnacentral:rRNA from 1 species